rnacentral:lncRNA from 1 species
AGUGGUGAUUCAGGUUCUGCAGGAGCUUCAAGUUAGCAUCGACAUCAGCUGGAAAUUCUGGAGAAGAAGAAUCAGUAGAUUUGUAGUCACGAUCGCAUUAAGUGUGACAAACCAAAGAUGACGUUGAACAGGUAGCGUCAGAGAAAGCAGAUGGCGUUCGGUUGUGGUAGACAACAACGGCGUCAGAGACAGAGGAAGAAACGUUCACAAAGGAUGAUCUCAAAGCACGUGGUGGUUUCAGGUUGGUGAAAUCAUGAUGAGAGACUUGCAAGGGAUGCAGCGAUAUUUGCAAGAAAGGGAAGACUCGCGUAAGC